GUGGGGAAUCUUGCGCAAUGGGCGAAAGCCUGACGCAGCCAUGCCGCGUGAAUGAUGAAGGUCUUAGGAUUGUAAAAUUCUUUCACCGGGGACGAUAAUGACGGUACCCGGAGAAGAAGCCCCGGCUAACUUCGUGCCAGCAGCCGCGGUAAUACGAAGGGGGCUAGCGUUGCUCGGAAUUACUGGGCGUAAAGGGCGCGUAGGCGGAUCGUUAAGUCAGGGGUGAAAUCCCAGAGCUCAACUCUGGAACUGCCCUUGAUACUGGCGAUCUUGAGUGUGAGAGAGGUAUGUGGAACUCCGAGUGUAGAGGUGAAAUUCGUAGAUAUUCGGAAGAACACCAGUGGCGAAGGCGACAUACUGGCUCAUUACUGACGCUGAGGCGCGAAAGCGUGGGGAGCAAACAGGAUUAGAAACCCCAGUAGUCC
rnacentral:rRNA from 1 species